CUCCAGUUGGCUUGGGGGCCGGGCACAAAGAUGCUUAGGCUGGGCUACACCAAACCUGGGUCCUGGGCCAGCUUCUGGGCCAUCCUGACCUUAGUGGGCCUGGUCACUCGUGCAGCCCAGAAAACCGAUGUCGGCGGGGAGUCAACGGGCACCUCCAUCAACCACUCCCAGACGCUGCUCCAACGCCUGCAGGAGCUGCUGCGGCAGGGCAAUGCCAGCGACGUGGUGCUGCGGGUCCAGGCUGCGGGCACUGACGAGGUCCGGGUCUUCCACGCCCACCGCCUGCUGUUGGGACUGCACAGCGAGCUGUUCCGGGAGCUGCUGAGUAACCAGAGCGAGGUGGUGCUGCAGGAGCCCCGGGACGGUGCUGCGGUCUUUGACAAGUUCAUCAGGUACCUCUACUGCGGCGAACUGGUCGUGCUGCUGGCGCAGGCCAUCCCCCUGCACAGGCUGGCCGCCAAGUACGGCGUGUCCUCCCUGCAGCGGGGCGUGGCCGACUACAUGCGCGCGCACCUGGCGGGCGGCGCGGGCCCGGCGGUGGGCUGGUACCACUACGCGGUGAGCACCGGGGACGAGGCCCUGCGCCAGAGCUGCCUGCAGUUCCUGGCCUGGAACCUGUCGGCCGUGGCGGGGAGCGCCGAGUGGGGCGCCGUGAGCCCCGAGCUGCUGGCGCAGCUGCUGCCGCGCUCGGACCUGGUGCUGCAGGACGAGCUGGAGCUGUUCCACGCGCUGGAGGCGUGGCUGGGCCGCGCGCGGCCGCCCCCGGCCGUGGCCGAGCGGGCGCUGCGCUCCAUCCGCUACCCCAUGAUCCCGCCGGCGCAGCUCUUCCAGCUGCAGGCGCGCUCGGCGGCCCUGGCGCGCCACGGCGCGGCGGUGGCCGACCUCCUGCUGCAGGCCUACCAGUUCCACGCCGCCUCGCCGCUGCACUACGCCAAGUUCUUCGACGUCAACGGCAGCUCCUUCCUGCCCCGCAACUACCUCGCGCCCGCGUGGGGCGCCCCGUGGGUCAUCAACAACCCGGCCCGCGACGAUCGCAGCACCAGCUUCCAGACGCAGCUGGGCCCCAGCGGCCACGACUCGGGCCGCCGGGUCACGUGGAACGUGCUCUUCUCGCCGCGCUGGCUGCCCGUCAGCCUGCGGCCCGUCUACGCGGAUGCCGCGGGCACCGCGCUGCCCCUCGCGCGCCCCGAGGACGGCCGGCCGCGGCUCGUGGUCACGCCGGCCAGCAGCGGCGGCGACGCGGCGGGCGUGAGCUUCCAGAAGACCGUGCUGGUGGGGACGCGCCAGCACGGCCGCCUGCUGGUCCGCCACGCCUACAGCUUUCACCAGAGCAGCGAGGAGGCCGGCGACUUCCUGGCGCACGCCGACCUGCAGCGGCGCAACUCCGAGUACCUGGUGGAGAACGCCCUGCACCUGCACCUCAUCGUGAAGCCCGUCUACCACCCCCUCAUCCGGACCCCGAAGUAGCCAAGCGGGGCCCGGGGCGGGAAGCUCGGUGUCCCUGAGGCCUCUGGAUCGGGAAAUACAGGCCCGGCAGAGAUGGGCCAGAGGGACUAGGAGUGGCAUGGCCAGCGGAGGUGCCUACCGUGGCCCCCUGGGUGGCCAGGCGCUGGCGGCCUUGGAGCUGGGUGGAAUCCAGGCGAGGGGUGGUAGACCAGAUGCCUGGUUUCAGGAGCUGAUUUCACGCUGACUUGAAGGCUUUUCUUCUGGCCACGCAGCCAGGGCCCAGGGCCAUCGCCACGAUGCUCGACUGCCCGGGAUGGGGCCUCACCCGUGCUGCUGGACAGGUUGUCCUCACUGGCAGCGUGCUGCAGCGUGGGGCUGGGUGGCCGCUUGCAGGCCAGCAGGCCGGGUGGCCGUGCCUCGUCAGCCUCGCUCAGCGAGUGCAGGGACAGGCUGCUGCGCUCCAUGCUGGGUGCCAGCAGGUGGCGCCCCUCGGCGCCCAGGGCCCGAGAGCGCCGCCGGGCAGCUUUCACCGAGAUGCACUUGGUGCCCGUCAGGAUCUCCUUCCUCUCUGCGGCGGGACAAAGGAGCACCCAACCCGGGAUCAAGGCCACAUAUUCCUCCCUCUCCUGCACCUCCAACACCCCUUCUCUGCCAAAGCAUCCCCCCUUGCUUGCUGUUUAAGAAACUUUGGGCAAGUUUCUGAGCCUUACUUUCAUCUGUAAACUGGGGAUGGUAAAACUAACCCCACUGGGUUGUGAGGAUUUUUUUCUUUUUGGCCAAGCCUUAGUUCCCCGACCAGGGAUCGAACCCAUGCCCCCUGCAGUGGAAGCGCAGAGUCUUAACCACUAGACCGCCAGGGAAGUCCCAGGUUAUGAGGAGUAACUGAGAUCGUGGGCAUAGCCUAUGGCCAGGGGGUAGGGAUUCGGUCUAUAUUUGCUAUUACAAUUAUUUCUGAGUGGGAAGGUGGGGCAUGAUCCUAAGUGCCAUGUGUUCCCCCUUCUGGUUUCUGAUUGUGCCCCCAGCUUUGUGUGGACAGAGCAGGUCGUUAAUCCUCUCUGGGCACUGGUGCCUCUCUUUCUAGAAUGGUCAGCACCCGACGCAUGGGUGUAUUUAGCAGUGCAGAGGGAAGGAAGGGGCUCUGGGCUGGGUGAUCUGAGCAGUUUAGACGAUGCCAGGCUCAGGCUGACAGGGUGGGCAGGGGGCACACCUUUGCAGGACAAAGGGAUCUCUGACAGGUUCUCACUGCUGUCAGGGGAGGAGUUGAUCCGGCCGCUCAGGCUGCCCAGGCCGUCCUGAGUGGGGGCCUGUGAGACGAAUUGGUUGGGAAGAGAAGCCACUGGACACAGCAGGGACCCUAUGUCCCCAGGGGGCUGUUUUGGAAAGGUUGUAUCCCAACCACUGGGUGUCCACCCUAGUACUCCCACCUGCAGCAGAGGAGCCCAUCGGGCCAGCGGUUCCCAGUGCUCACCUCCUGCGUCACCAGGCUGCCAAUCGGGAUGGGGGGUGGGGUGGGCACAGAGGAGCUCUUCACCUGCCAGGCCCCGGAACUGGCCUUGAGCACGUGGUUGGCUUCACUGAGGUUGGCGGAGGAGGAUGGGCAUCUGUUGACCAGGCUGGUCCCACUGCAGUGCCACCCCCACCCUAGGGGGGGAGCUGUUAUGUAAAGGGCGAGAGGACCCAAAGGUCCUGGCUCCAGACCUGUGCCACCUCCCCCCUGUCGUUCCCGCUCCAUCCUCCCCAGGAAGCCCUAAUCUGUGCUGGCAUCUCUGGGACACAGCCUGUGGUGGCUCAGGCAGGAAGGGCUGGCAGGAAGUGGUCCCUGGUCUCACCUCUCUGUGCUGAUCGGAGGCAGGAAGCUGCUCUGUAGGAGCUGGGCUUCGGAGCUCAGCGUCUUCACGCUCUCUGGGUCAGACUCUGGGGUCAGCAAGGUUCCUGCUCUGCUAAUUUUGGGCAAAGAGCUGUCCUGGGGAGGGGGAGAAGGGGCAGUCAGAAGGCUUGGUCCUGGGCCAGGUAGCAGCACAGGGUGACAAAGGCACACAGGGUGUCUGGGGCUGUAAUAUGGGCUGGGAGCCCCAGAGGGCAGUGGGCUUGUUCUGGGUCCCCAGGGACAAGCUGUGGUAUGCUAGGCAUCGCCCGUGGCACUGCCUGGUGGCCUGGUCUCCUGGGAGGGCGUCUGGGGCCAUCUGUCAUUUCUCAGAUAGCCAAACCUGACCCUCAGAGCCUGGGCGGGGACAAGUGCCAGAGAAGAAUACGCCGAGAAAGGAAGCUUACUCAGGCUUGGCAAGCCUUUGGGUGGGAUAAGAAGGAAGGAGUCAACUCCCUGGGGACCAGCCAGCCUGGUCCCACCGCCAUGCCGACGACCUGCACGCCCUGCCCUGGGCAUCGGCCCCUCCCUUAGCACAUGUGCGCAUGCUCAGGCCCGAGGCGCCCACCUGCAGGGCCCUAGAGGCCACGCGGUCCAUGAUGGUGGCCCGCUCCAGGCUGCCCUCCUCCUGCUCGCGCAGGUACACUUCGUACAGCUCCUCCAGGUGCUGCGGGACGGCCAAGUUGUAGUCUGCCGGGGGAGGGGCAGGGCUCAGCGCGUGCCCUCGGGCCCUCCGCGGGUCGAUGGGGCCCGUGGGUGGCUCGGA